GGCCGCAUCGGGCCGGGCAUGGGCCGGCACGCUCUCGCCGAGCAGGCUCUCGGCGUCGGAGAGACCGGCGGCUCCAGUCCCGCCGUGGCCGCC
rnacentral:tRNA from 1 species